AUUUUUUGUUGUAUUUAUAAGGAAAAAUUAAUAGUUGGUAAAUGGACAUAUUCAUGACGAGAUCAAGAAUCUGUUGCAGGCUCGAUUGGGUAGCAGUGAUAUAGAGUAGUGAUACAAUUGGGAGAGUCGAGAAAGGAAGAAUUCUAGAGUCUCGAGGACGAAGAUGGAAUACAGCCCAGUUCUGUGUCAACUGUCAAGUCAUCCAACAAGAGGAUUCUGAGAGUAGAGCAGUGCGGUGUUCCCAGCUGCAUUUGUUUUAACAACGGUCUCGCUUUAUUUAUUCAAGGAACAUAGUACAACUGAUGGAAAAAAAAAAGGAAGACAACAA
rnacentral:lncRNA from 1 species